AGAAGCCAGACCUGCUGUGUGCUGCUGGGCCCUCCCGGCCUUCAGAGCCCCAGCCUCACAGGUCUCUUGCCCUKCUCUGGUGGCCGCCCACAAGCAGACCAUGCAGUCCGAGAAGUUCCACUUAGCUAUGCUGCCACGUGACCAAAUGCCGCCUCUCACAUUGGUGGUUGAGAAAGAGCUGGAAUGAAGUCAUCCCUCUUCUGGUUUUGUCUUCAUCCCACAGUUUGCAAAGCUGCAGAGAGCAUCGUUGACAAUGCCUUGUGUUCUACAGCAUGCAUGCUCAGGAAGGAGCACCUGGCUGCAGAGAUUACUCAACGCGCCCGCAGAGCCCCUCAAUGCAGUGGACUGGAGGACACGGACAGGGACCUGGGCUGCUAUGUCCGGGCCGUGGGAGCCUUGCUGCCUGGACAGUGUGCCCUGAGGGGACCCCGGAUGGCAGUCAGGCACUGGCCUGGCUCAGGCCUGGCUCCGCUCUUCAGUGGUCAGCGUGAGCCCUGCCAUCCUCCUUUCUUUGUCUGUGGAUGCGGGGUCAUUGCAGUCGGCCUCAACGCCCCCUUAGCUCUUCCAUUCUCAAAUUCCAUUUACCUUUUGAUCCGGUUCCAUCCUUUUAAGUGCUGUCACCUUUGCUUACUUGUAUAA
rnacentral:lncRNA from 1 species